ACGGAGGGUGCGAGCGUUAAUCGGAAUUACUGGGCGUAAAGCGCACGUAGGCUGUAUGUCAAGUCAAGGGUGAAAUCCCACGGCUCAACCGUGGAACUGCCUUUGAAACUGGCAAACUGGAGUAUGUGAGAGGGCGGCGGAAUUCCUGGUGUAGGAGUGAAAUCCGUAGAUAUCAGGAGGAACAUCAGUGGCGAAGGCGGCCGCCUGGCACAAAACUGACGCUGAGGUGCGAAAGCGUGGGUAGCAAACAG
rnacentral:rRNA from 1 species